CUUUACUGCAACUUGACGUUGGAACUUGGCUGUAUUUGUGUAGGAUAGGUGGGAGACUUUGAAGCAGGGCCGCCUGGUCUUGCGGAGUCGUCGUUGAAAUACCACCCUGGUGCUGACGAGUUUCUAACCGUGUCCGUGAGCCGGACAUGAGACAGCGUCUGGUGGGCAGUUUGACUGGGGCGGUCGCCUCCUAAAAGGUAACGGAGGCAUUCAAAGGUCCCCUCAGCGUGGUCGGUAAUCACGCGCAGAGUGCAAACGCAUAAGGGGGCUUAACUGCGAGACCGACAGGUCGAGCAGGUACGAAAGUAGGAGUUAGUGAUCCCGCGGUUUAGCGUGGAAUUGCCGUUGCUCAAUGGAUAAAAGGUA
rnacentral:rRNA from 1 species